ensembl:lncRNA
UUUUUUUUUAUUAUUAUUAUAGCCAUCCUUGUGGGCAUUGUGGGGUUUUUUCAAUAUUUUUUUCUAUUUCUUUAUUUUAUUCAUUGUGUUUCCAUUUUAAUUUGUAUUUCUUUAUUGAUUAAACGUGUUGAGUAUCUUUUUUUUCUUUCCAGACAAAGUCUCGCUUUGUCACCCAGGCUGGAGUGCAGUGGCACACCCAUGGCUGACUGCAGCCUUGACCUUCCAGGUUCAAGUGAUCCUCCCACUUGAGCUUUCUGAGUGGCUGGGUCUGCAGGUGCACACCACCACGCCCAGCUAAUGUUUUGUUUUUGUGUUUUUUGGUAGAGAUGGGGUAUUGCUAUGUUGCCAGGGCUAACCUAGAACUCCUGGACUAAAGCAAUCCUCACACGUUGGCCGCUCAAAGUGCUGGGAUUACAGGUGUGAGCCAGUGUGGCUGGCCUAAUGUGUUGAGCAUCUUUUCAUGUGCUUAUUAGCCAUCUAUAGAUUUUCUUUGGUGAAAUGUAUAUUCAAAUCUUUCGCCCAUGUUUUAAAUUGGGUUUUUGUUAUUUAUCUAUCGAAAGAUGGGGUCUCACUCUGUUGCCCAGGCUGGAGUACAGUGGCGUAAUCGUAGCUCACUGCAGUCUCAAACUCCUGGGCUCAAGCAAUCUUCUUACUUCAGCUUCCCCAGUAGUUGGGAGCAUAGGCACAUGCCACUAUCCCUGUCUAUGGGUUUUUAAUAUUUUUAUUGUUGAGUUUCAUGGGUUUUUAAAAUAAAUAUUCUGCUCUCCCCGCCUCAGCAAACCAAUGCGGAAACAAAAAACCAAAUAUCACAUGUUCUCACUUACAAGGGGAGCUGAAUGAUGAGAACACAUGGACACGUGGCGGGGAACAACACAUACUAGGGCCUGUUGAGGGCUGGUGGGGAGGGUGAGCAUCAGAAAGAAUAACUAAUAGAUGCUAGGCUUAAUAACUAGGUGAUAGGUUGAUCUGUAUAGCAAAUAAUCAUGGUGCACUUUUGCCUAUGUAACAAACCUGUACAUCCUGCACAUGUACCCUGGAACUGAAAAGUUGUUGAAAAAUAAAAUAAAAUAAAUAAAAUAUAUAUUCUGACUGUACAUCCUUUGUGAUGUAUAUGAUUUGCAAAUAUUUUCUCCCAGUGUGUGGCAGGUAAUGAUGGCUUUUGAAGCACAAAAGUGGCAUUUAAGUUUCUUCCAUUUUCAAGUCUGCCUGAUAGUCACUUUUUGUUGGGCCCUUUCACGUCUCAUCUGAGCAUGCUGGGAAUGUGUGGAUAGCCAGGUUCCCCUUGAUCUGCCCUGCACACACAUGCAGCCCACAUCAGCCAGAUGCUUGCCCCAAUCCCGCUCCACUCGCCUGCUGCCAAGAUCAUGUCCAUCAACAACACUGCUGUGCUAGACGUUGUCCACUGCUUCAAAUCCAGUGAACCCCUUGACCAUGGGAGUGAAAAUGCCAGUGCUCACAGCUGGCCCUGGUAGAGCCCCUUUGACAGCAGAACAGGAUAGGGGAAUGGGAGCAGCUCCAGGCAAAAGCACUGCAGAGACUCACUGUUAGUAGUUUUAGUUUAGUUUAGAAAUUUUCCACCAUAAAUGCUUUUCAAAUUGUUAUAUGCCUUUGGUUGAUGAAAAUAUCCAGCAGUUUUAGUAAUGAGUAUGUGUUGCUCUAUAAUCAGAAAAAAGACCAAACAAAGUAAACUGUUCCAAAGCAGUACAUAUAACACACGCAAAUAUUUUUAAAAUUUUAAGUUUUCACACUAACUAAUGAAUUUUACUUAGCAUUUGUGAAACAGGGCCUCACAUUUACAAAAUUGGAAUUUUGCUCCUGUUCUGAGAGUUGCAAUGAUUUUUGUGACUGUUCUAAAACUGAAACUGAAGCACUAGAAUGAACCAUGACAAACUUUUAUCUUGGAAACUUGGGUACUUUUUGUUCAGGUACUUAGAUUGUCAUAUUUUGUGACAUUGAAUUUUGAGCUGGUUUUGCUAUUUUGGUUUUAGGUAGCUCAAAUACAGUCCUUCAGGAACAUGAUGGAUAAAAUACUUCUGUGUCUGUGAACCUAACUGCCAUUUGUAAAUUUGCUACUCUGGGGGAAAAUGAAUUCCAGGUUCCAAACAACGCUCAAAUGCUUGAAUGAGUCCCUCUCAGAUAUAUCAAUUCUGAAAAAAUUGCAUUUUUACUGUUGUUUUGCAAUUUUUUUUUUUUUUGGAGACAGGGUCUCACUCUAUUGUCCAGGUUGAAGUGCAAUGGCACAAUCAUGGCACACUGUAGCUUCAAAUUUCUAGGCCCAAAAGUCCUCCCACUUCGGCCUCCUGCCGAAUAGGGAGGAGGACCACAGGUGUACACUACCACACUCGGCUAAUUUUACGAUGUUUUGUAGAGACAAGGUCUCACUAUGUUACCCAGGCUGGUCUCAAAGUCCUGAACCCAAGUGAUCCUCCUGCCUCAGCCUCCCAAACUAUUGGGAUUGCAGGUGUGAGCAACCAUGCCUGGCUUGUUUUGCAAAUAUUUUAAAAUUCCAUCUUCUCAUUAAGAAUAUUAUAGAAAGAUGUUACC